UACGGAGGGUGCAAGCGUUAUCCGGAUUUACUGGGUUAAAGGGUGCGCAGGCGGAUAUGUAAGUCAGUGGUGAAAUCUCUAGGCUUAACCUGGAAAUUGCCGUUGAUACUAUAUAUCUUGAAUGCUGUGGAGGUAAGCGGAAUAUGUCAUGUAGCGGUGAAAUGCUUAGAUAUGACAUAGAACACCUAAUUGCGAAGGCAGCUUACUACGCAGAUAUUGACGCUCAUGCACGAAAGCGUGGGGGAUCAAACAGG
rnacentral:rRNA from 1 species